rnacentral:rRNA from 1 species
UAUUAAUUUGUUAUUUAUUUAAUAUGUUUAUUUUUUUUCUGUAAGAAAGAUUUUUUUUUUUAUUAAUUUUUUUUGAAAAAAUUUUUUUAAUUAUAGUAAAUGGUACUGUGAAGGAUUUAAUUUUUUAGAGAGAAAGCAUAGUUGAUUUUUAGUACCUUUAGUAUCAGGGUUUAUUAAGUUGGGGUCAAAUAAUUGGUUGUCUCGAAUUUAAAAGAGCUAAAAUAAUAUAUUUAUUACUGUGGAAAAAGUAUUUAUAAUAUUAUUAUAGUAAUGAAACGUUAGUCGUUUUUAAAUAUAUCUAGUUUUCUGAGAAAUAAAUUUAAUUUAUUUAUUUUUUAUUAUAAUUAUAAUUUUUUAUUUUAUGAUUAAAAUAGAAUAUUUUUAUAGGGAUAAGCUUAUAAAAGGAUUUUCAUAAUUAAGUUGUCACUGAUUAAUUUAUAGGAUUAGAAUUUUUCAUUAUUUUUAGUAUGUUAUAGUUAAUUAAUCUAGUAGUGUGAUUUAAAGUUUAUUUGAAUUUUUUAUCAGAAUUUCUUAAAUAAUGAAGAAUUAUGAGUAAUAAUGAUAAAAUUAGUAUAAUUUUUUGUAAAAUUAAUUUUUAUUUACUAGGUUAGUUUAAGGAACUCGGCAAUUGAAUUUUCACCUGUUUAUUAAAAACAUGGCUUUUUGAUUAUAAUUUAAGGUCGGACCUGCCCAAUGAGGAUUUUAAUGGCCGCAGUAUUUUGACUGUGCAAAGGUAGCAUAAUCAUUAGUUUCUUAAUUAGAAGCUGGAAUGAAUGGUUUAAUGAGAAAUUAACUGUCUCUGAUUAAAUGAAUUAUAAUUUGAAUUUUAAGUGAGAAUGCUUAAAUUUUUUAAAAAGACGAGAAGACCCUAUAGAGUUUUAUUUUCUAAGUUUUUAUUGGUUUUGAAGUUUUCUUUUUCUUAUUUGCUUGGAAAAUUUUGUUGGGGUGAUAGGAAAAUUGAUUUAACUUUUUUUUUGUUUUUACACUGAUUAGUGAAUUGUUGAUCCUGAAUUUUGGAUUAAAAGAUUAAAUUACCUUAGGGAUAACAGCGUAAUUUUUUUUGAAAGUUCACAUUUACAGAAAAGUUUGCGACCUCGAUGUUGGAUUAAAAUUAAUUUUCGGUGUAGAAGCUGAAAUAUUGGGUCUGUUCGACCUUUGAAAUUUUACAUGAUCUGAGUUUAAACCGGCGUGAGCCAGGUUGGUUUCUAUCUUUUAUUUGUGUUAAUGUUCUAGUACGAAAGGACCGAAUGUUAAAAUUAUAUUUUAGAGUUUGAAUAAAGUUA